rnacentral:lncRNA from 1 species
CCAAAUACUGUGGUCUGGUGUGCCUUUAUUGCAGAGAUUCUCUUCACUUUUCCAGUGGGCUUCAGUUUUCUUCAGGAAGCCUGAGAGAGGCCCUCUGUGUUGUUCACUUCUGCAGCUCAGGACAAUGGUCUUUAUGUCCCCCUGUGGCUCUGUCACGUGGAACCAAGUAGCUGCACAGCCAAGAGGCCAGAGCAUCAUCCCCCAGGGGACUAAGCUCCCAGCACGUGAACCUUUAAGGGAGACACUUGCAUCAUACCCAACCAGAAUGGAUGAAGCCGUCUGUGGAUGUCCAGAGUGUCACAGAGUUGGAAGUACAGUGAUUUUAAAAAUCAUGAAUUGGCCCUUGAUCUUUGCUGAAGGUAACUAAUUUUUCUCUUUUGUAUUGUUAUGAACUCAUAGAUGUAAACAUAUCAGUGGGAGUUCAACCAAUUGCAAUUAAACUUGUUCAAGCCGAGACUAUCCCAUUUUUUGGCCACUGGGAGAGUCUUCAGGUUUGUUUCCCAGUUUUUUUAAAAAUUAAUUUUAUUGGUACAUUUUAGGUAUACAGUAU